rnacentral:other from 1 species
AGCUCCCUGGGGCGUUGGCCAGUCGGGUAUGUCCCCGAGCCGAUUCUCUGAAAACUGGAGGUCGCCAGCAGGUGAUGGUGUGCAUGUCCGCUGGUCGGAAAGCCUGAUUCACCUCAGUGACCGCCGCCUUGGACUCUAUUGGUUCAAGGGCUCUACCGACAGCGGCGUUCUCGGGGAGCUC